CCCCCCCGAGCACUAUCCUGUGCAAACAGCACCUGUCCGCCGCUCUUAAAUACCUCUGUAGAAGUGUGGUUUAAUCGGCCGUUGAUCAUUCUUUCAUCACCACUUAUGCCCCCCCGCCCCCACCCAAGGAGAGGAAAAGCUCAUUGUGAUUCUAAAGAUAACCGCGGCCUGCGUAGUAAUGGAUACGCUGCCAUCUGCACCUCAGGGAUAAUUUGAUUUGCCCUGACAUGGUAAAUUACCCCCCACAGAAUGUCCAGGUGCUAAUUCAGUUCUGUAUCACUUAACACCCGGAGUCCCCCUGUGCUGAUGGGGGGGUCAUGGUGGUUGUGAUGUUAACAGUGGUGCUGAUGGUGGUGGUGGUGGUGGUGAUGAUGGUGGUGAUGAUGCUGAUGAUGGUGGUGUUGAUGGUGGUGAUGAUGGCGAUGAUGGUGGCGGUGAUGAUGAUGAUGCUGAUGAUGGUGGUGAUGAUGGUGGUGAUAGUUGUGGUGAUGGUACUGAUGGUGGUGAUGGUGUUGAUGGUGGUGGUGAUGGUGGUGGUGAUAUUGUGAUGACAGUGGUGGUGAAGAUGGUGAGGAUGGUGGUCAUAGUUGUGGUGAUGGUGAUGAUGGUGUUGGUGGUGGUGAUGAUGGUGAUAAUGGAGGUGAUGAUGGUCAUGAUGAUGGUGGUGAUAGUUGUGAUGAUGAUGCUGGUGGUGGUGAUGGUGGUGAUGAUGGUGGUGAUGAUGCUGGUGAUGGUGGUGGUGGUGAUGGUGGUGGUGAUGGUGGUGAUGGUGGUGGUGGUGGUGGUGGUGAUGGUGAUGGUGAUGAUGCUGAUGAUGAUGGUGGUGAUGAUGAUGGUGGUGAUGAUGAUGGUGGUGGUGAUGGUGAUGAUGCUGGUGAUGAUGGUGGUGGUGAUGGUGGCGUGAUGGUGAUGAUGCUGAUGAUGGUGGUGGUGAUGGUGGUGAUGGUGAUGAUGGUAGUGAUGGUAUUGGUGAUGAUGCUGAUGAUGGUGUGGUGGUGAUGGUGGUGGUGAUGAUGGUGGUAGUGGUGGUGAUGCUGAUGAUGUGGUAGUGGUGGUGAUGGCAUUGGUGAUGAUGCUGAUGAUGGUGGUGGUGGUGAUGGUGAUGCUGAUGAUGGUGGUGGUGGUGGUAUUGGUGAUGAUGCUGAUGAUGGUGGUGGUGGUGGUGAUGGUGGUAGUGGUGGUGAUGCUGAUGAUGGUGGUGGUGAGCUUGACGUCACCUUGAAAUACAAGCUGUCGUAGUUUGUGCGGCGCCUGAAUGAGGCCGACACACAACUUCCCGUAUAAACAAACAUAUAGAAACAUACCUGCUUGUGUAGAUUAAGAUGUUAAGGAGAGGAAGCUUCUUUUACUGACCCGCUGUCACGGUGUGGUUUUAUUUCCUGUCUUAUUUUGUAGUUUUCUGCUUCUUGUCACCCUGGGUAACUUCACUUCCUGCCUUAUCCUGUGAUUGUCUGAUUCUUUCCACCUGUGUCCAAUCACCUGCACCUCCCUAGUGUAUUUAAGCAGUGUGUGUCACUUGUCGCGUCGUUGUCUGUUGGUCUGGAUGGUCCUUGUCUUCAGCCCCCUGGAUGUGUCUCGUUCCUGCCUGCCGUUUUCCCCCUCGGCCAUUUUGUGUUGGAGUUGAUGACUAUUAAAGUAUUUUUUGUUAAAACUCUGCAUUUGAGUCCCGCCUCCCACGCACCCCUGACACCCGCCCUCUCAACUGGUCAACCAGCCUCAACUUUGGUCCAGACCUGAGUGGUGGACUGAGUAGCGAGCAUAUGAAUACUGUUGUUACAGGUGUUCCAGAACAACAUCCAUAAAGAAAUAGUAGCUCUGAAUGUGUUGCUUUUAGAAAUUACAUUUUUUGUGCCCUGUGCAGGUUUUCCUCCUCUAAUGAUACAUCGGCCUCUCACCCCUCCACUUCCACAAAUAUUUAGCUUCCCUGAUACAUCUAAUAAAAGUGUUUAGAAGGUUUCCCCGGUGUUUCACCUCAAAAGGAAGGACCUAAACUAGAGAGACUAGAUGUCUGCGUCCACCUUGUGUAAAUAUUUGAGACAUGUGCAGAUUCUGUCUGAGGAGGAUUAACCGCUUCCUGUGAUACGCACUCCGCCUCACCUUUUCCAAUAAAUACUGUCUCAUCCGCUAUCGCCGUCUCUGCAAGGGCUCAACUCGAGGAAACGGAAGUUGGAUGGAAAUGAUCAUUGUCCUUACCUAUUUUUAGGAAUAUACAUCAAUAAAAGCAGAGAUAGAGGGACUUUUUGUGUGAGAUCUGACCCUGUCUCAGUGGAGAACAUGCAUGUCUCGCUCCUCCGCCUCCAUCCCUCCACUGCCGAGGCUUACGUACGCACACGGCACCACUGAAUUAAUAUUCCACAGUUUGUUUUUGAGGGAUGACGCUCCUUGUUCCGCCUGUCUCUCCCCUGUGAUAUUUCAAUUGAUCUGUUACAUCAUCUGGAUCGUGGCCACGGUGAAAGAAAGAAGCCAACGUGCGGCAGCGAGGUGCACGUGAUACGCGUUAGAAGAUAACUCAUUAAUAUCAAUGUUCCCUUAGAUGUGUUUCCAUAGCAAGAAGACGGGCUCAUCAUUGAUCCCGUUGGUUAUAUCAGCCUGUGUGAGGAUUAAACUCUUUUUUUUCUCAUUACUCUGUGAGCUCCUGCAGAUGUAAGGAAGGAGAUAGUUGUGAACCUCGGGGGUCGAUCGGCGGCUGGAGACGUACGCACAUCAGAGCCGCAGGAAUCAGCUCUCAGGCCACGUCUCUCUGUCUGUCUCUCUCUGAAGACCAGCCGGGCGAUGAGAGAAGCCGCAGAGCACUUCAUCCUUUGAUAACGCAGAGAUUCCUCUCAGGUGAAGGUGGAUCCGACAUCCUUUGUUUUGUACUCCACAUGGAUGGUUGUUCCACAUUUGCUCUGCAGGGAUUUUGCUACCGGAAAGCAAACCGCCUCACUAACUUAACGCCGAAAUCACGUCUUUCUCAUUUGGAGGGUUUCUGCUGGCAGAGCAGCAACAUGGCGUUCAUGAGGCCAGACGGAAUGACAUCAUAACCGAAACGAGCACUGAAGGCCGGCGAAGGGAGCUGAGCUUCAAGUGAGGCCGGUUUCCUGCGUGGAAGUCUUUGCUAUAAAAGCUGCGCCCUUUUGUUCCGUCAUCAAGCACAGUGUGUGUGUGUGUGUGUGUGUGUGUGCGUGUGUGCUGCACGUGUCCUGCUAUGCUGUCGGCCUUCGCCGGGCGCCGUGGGGAAGAAGGCUGCCCGCGUCUUUCUUCCGCACCCUGAGGGGGGUUUUGCAUUUUUUAUCAGCGAGCCUUUUUUAAGCCGGGGGAGUCAGCGUGGAACAGAGAGAAGUUCUGCGAGUGCCGGCGCUGUGAUUUCCCUCCACGCCGCGCGGUCCGACCGCGCGUCAUCCAUGUAUUUCUGGGAAGCGCGGCGGGACGCCAUCUGGACGUGACAUCAUCCUGCAUGUUGAUUAUUGACAAACACACAACUUUCAAUCACUUCCCAAAGUGUCUGUGACCUCAUCCUUCCUGUCGCCGUGCCGACCUCUGACCUCUGCACU
ensembl:lncRNA